CCCUUAGAUGUUCGGGGCCGCACGCGCGCUACACUGAAGGAAUCAGCACGUCUUUCUCCUUGUCCGAAAGGACUGGGUAACCCGCUGAACCUCCUUCGUGCUAGGGAUUGGGGCUUGUAAUUCUUCCCCAUGAACGAGGAAUUCCCAGUAAGCGCGAGUCAUAAGCUCGCGUUGAUUACGUCCCUGCCCUUUGUACACACCGCCCGUCGCUACUACCGAUUGGAUGGUUUAGUGAGAUCCUCGGAUUGGUCCCGGCGCGGCCUCUGGUCGUGCCGGAGUGCCGAAAAGAAUGUCGAACUUGAUCAUCUAGAGGAAAUAAAAGUCGUAACA
rnacentral:rRNA from 1 species